UACGUAGGGUGCAAGCGUUAAUCGGAAUUACUGGGCGUAAAGCGUGCGCAGGCGGUUCGGAAAGAAAGAUGUGAAAUCCCAGGGCUCAACCUUGGAACUGCAUUUUUAACUACCGGGCUAGAGUGUGUCAGAGGGAGGUGGAAUUCCGCGUGUAGCAGUGAAAUGCGUAGAUAUGCGGAGGAACACCGAUGGCGAAGGCAGCCUCCUGGGAUAACACUGACGCUCAUGCACGAAAGCGUGGGGAGCAAACAGG
rnacentral:rRNA from 1 species